UAAUACUGAGGGUGCAAGCGUUAAUCGGAAUUACUGGGCGUAAAGCGCGCGUAGGCGGUCUGGUCAGUCAGAUGUGAAAGCCCCGGGCUUAACCUGGGAACUGCAUUUGAAACUGCCAGGCUAGAGUGUGGUAGAGGGAAGUGGAAUUCCGCGUGGAGCGGUGAAAUGCGUAGAGAUGCGGAGGAACACCAGUGGCGAAGGCGACUUCCUGGACCAACACUGACGCUCAGGUGCGAAAGCGUGGGGAGCAAACAGGAUUAGAUACCCUGGUAGUCCACGCCGUAAACGAUGUCUACUAGCCGUUGGGGAGCUUGUCUCCAUAGUGGCGCAGCUAACGCGAUAAGUAGACCGCCUGGGGAGUACGGUCGCAAGACUA
rnacentral:rRNA from 1 species